AUGACUAGGGAUAACCUUAGGAAGAGACACAUCAUCAAACCCCUUGAUUGUGUUUACUGCUUGCAACAAGAGUCUUGUUCUCACCUAUUUUUUGAAUGUAUAGUUGCUAAACAUCUCUGGGCCCACAUUGAGGAAUAUUUCUCUAGUCAGAUUGGCUCAUCCUUCGAAUCUGUCGCCAGAUUCUGGAUUGCUACCAAAAAGUGCUCAGUUUUAAACACUGUUAGCUCAGUUGUCCUUUGGUGCCUCUGGAAAUAUUGAAAUGCUAUGAUUUUCAGUAACACCUCCUGGAUUUCCAUUCCGAAGGUCUUGAGGUUGAUCAGGAACAUGGUGACGAACUGGGCGAUUCUCUCCUCCGGAUAG
rnacentral:rRNA from 1 species